ensembl:lncRNA
CUGCUCCUGAUCCAGACGGACACAUUGUCUCCUCUGCUGCGGUGAGAGGAUUCCAUAUGGAGGGUUUAUGUUGAACCUGCGGUCUUUCUGGCUGCAGGGCGGUAGUCUCGGGCACCAUGUGCACCACCAUCAUGGUUCUCUCCACUCUGGCUCUGGUACUGCGCCGACAUUUCAACAGCCGAGACAACAGGACCUUUCCUGAGGACUCGGGGGGGAAUAAGGCACCGAGUGUGCAGAGCAGCAAGGACUGAGAGGGAGUGAGGCUCAGCGUGUUAGCAGGCCCCCACAUCAGGAAAAACCACGAAUCCUCAGCCUCCAGCAGGGAGAUUGUUCUCAAUAGGUACGUGUUCAUUAUUCUGACCAAGCCUGUUCCCACCACGCCGGUUUCCUCUGUAGAAUUCAGCAGCUGGAACAUUUGUGCAGUAAAAAGGUAACUCUGCAUUUUAAAGAUGGGUUUUGUCAGCUUUUAAUAAUGGGACCACAGUGUGACCACUACAUCUACACUGAUACCCUAAACCCCGCUGCAGGAACUGAGAGUAUCAGUGUCUGGGCUCGUGUGACAGCGGGGCGGGGAUGGUAAGCAGCGCAGUGACCCGGCGCUGGAGACGCACUGUGCACAGCAGACAUCAUGGCUGGGAGGGGAGACGGCCGGGCUACGGAUACGCGUUUGCCGGAGCACUGGAGGGAUGUGCGAGAAUGGAGCGUGGAGAAGAGACAGAGCCACCAAGUAAGAGCCUCUCUCUCUCUCUCUCUCUCUGUCUCGCUGUCGCUCACUGCGUCUCAACUCGUCGUGUUCUUAUUCGACUGAACCCAGAGCGGCCUGUCGAUACUAAGUCAUUCAGACAGUAUGUGGUGUUGUCUCUGCUCGGAGCCUCUGGGAGCCGCCCAGAAGAUCACUCAACGCUUCUUUACUCAUCUCUCGUGUAAUCGCUCCAUUAUUGAACGCGUUUGUAUGUUGUUCUGCAGAAAAAAGGUAAAUGCUUCCUGAGUCGUUUAAAAAAAAAAUCAGCUAUAAAGUGUGAGUAGCAGGAAAUGCAUUGUUAGUGUUUGACGUUUAUGAUGUAGUGUGUGGGUUGAUGGAUGAGGUGACCCGCAUCUCCUCAAAGCUUUGUGAUGGAGAUAAGUUUAGAAGUGAGGUCAAAAACUGUACCAAUUACUGUGUUAAUAAGCUUCUUAAUAAAGCCAUUAACACAGACAAAUUACAUUAAAGUCAUUAUGAAACACCAUUAAACCAUGCUGUGCUCUGAGUUAAUACAACGCAAAGAAGGACAAAUCUGCCUCUGGGCACAAACUGGGAUUUUUUUGUAUAUCUGGAAAGCCAAAAAUACCAAAGUAAAUGUAAUAACUAUGCACCCGAGAGCCUGACAAACAGGCUACACAUGUCUUUCAAAUUAACACAAAGCCCUUAUUGCCAUUACUAGCCAUUACUAGAAAGGUCGCAGGUCACAGCCUCAUUCACAGAUGGUUCAGCAUUCUGCUCUACAAAAGCGCCACCUUAAAUCUUCCCAGAGAUGUAGUCAUUCCGCAUGAAUAAGGCAUAAGGAGCAACCCAAUAGUGGACGAGUGACUAAGAGGAGGCGGCCCUGCAUGCUUCAGUAGUUAUUAUAUUGCUGAAGCAGUAGAACUUGAGAUGAAUUCAUAAUAAAAUAGUUGGCAUGGGGACCACAUGGAUGUUCUGGGCCUCUCUUAAAAACUUUAUAUGCAGCACAUCUUCUUACCGAAUGUUGGAAGAACACCUUUACAGGACCUCAUCUCUAGAUAAUGCCAUACAAUUGUUUUCCCCUCAACAGAAGUUAAAAUGAGUAAAUUAGGGAGGUACAGCUAAAAACUCCUUAUAACCAUUUUUAACUGAAACAAAGCACAAUUCCCUCACCAGGCCACUGAGUACGGAGCAAAAAACACGUGGCGGAUGCACUCAUUAACCGGAACAACCAGAUGGAUCGUUACACUGAACCACCCAGAGGCUAUCCAUGGAAGGGUUUGGAAAAGGGCAACUACUUUCCAAAAAUACAUCUGAAGGAAAUCGGAAGGAGAGCGAAGAACAUCCGUCGGUGUCGUUCUUUUCUUUGCUUUCAAUUAAGAAUGACUCUCUGGUUCAGCAUGUACGCUCUGCCUCCCUGCAGCAUCCUGCAGCAUGUCAUCAGCCUCCCAUGUGCACACACACACACACACACACACACACACACACACACACACACAGGCACAUGCAUCUGCUGAAACCUCUGACUUCACUCCACCAGCGCCAGUCUGUGCACAGGCAGUUCAGAUGUUGUCAUUCGGUUUGCUGGAGGAUUUGGGCAGCCUUAUUCAAAAGGGAUAUUCUCUCUUUUAUUUAUGCUGCGUUCUAUUUUCCUUUUGUCUGAGACAUUUCUGCCUACGGGACACGUAGGCAGAAAUCUCACGUGUUACCGUAGUUGUGAUAAUUCAGGUAGUGUUCCUGGUUUCAGAGAGACACUCUAUUCAUGUAGGAGCAAAGGGUUCCAGAGGUUCAAUAGGAAACCCAAACCAUGUAUUUGAUCAAUAUGUCUUUAAAACAAAGGCUUAAUACCUGCAUUUAUUCAUUUAUUCUGUGGAGGUUGGCAAUGAGAUAGAAUACAAAGCAAAGUAAUGUGUUUUUGUCUUCUAGGAGGUUAAACAUGUUUACAAAAAGAAGUGAUGUAGCUCUUUAAAGCUCCUUAAAAAUCAUUCCAGAAAAUGUCACCAACCACCAACCUCGUUAGAAAACCACAUUCUUCCGACACUGCCCCUCCCACACUAAUCCUGCUAGAAAAGCACAAGACAAAAACAAAAAUACAGAAAUCUCUGAAGAAACUGAAACUGACUGAAAAUGUCUUGAUGUGGAACAAGAAAAUAUGCUCCUUUCAUUUGAAUCCAAAAUGAAAAGAAAAUGUGCCUUCAAGUGUGGGUCUUUUGCAUUUUCCAUUGAUCAAUGAGAAUUUCGCUUUGAGACUAAAGCUAACCAACCUGUGUGGCUUCCUGUAGCUUCCUGAAUAUUCCAUUCACUUAAAUGUGAAACUACUCUCAGAGGGUCUGCUGUGAUCAAAAGGUGCAAUAUCCAAUCCCGCUUCGCAACAUCUCUCCGUAGAUGAUGAAAUUCUCUCUCUCUCUCUCUCUCUCUCUCACAGAUGUGGGUUGCAGAUGUGGAAGCUGUCCUCAGGUCCAUGGAGAGACAGUUGGUGAGUUUUUAAAAGAAGACGGUGUGUAUAUGCCUCGACUAGACCCAUUAGUCCAUGAAGACACUUGUUGUGAUCAUUCUAAAUGACAAUGGUGUUUUUGAAUAUGGCCUCCUGCAGCUCCUUGUGUCAAACUAACAUACCCGUUUCCCAGAAUGCUUCACUGGAGAAAUAUCCUCGUACAAGCGCAGUCUGCCCAGAGCGUUGUCCUCCAUCUCCUUUGAACCGCGGCGGGUGUCUCUGCUGCCGACCAGCUGAUCCGGAGAGGCGCCUUAAGAUGGUCUGAAAUGAUUUGGAGGCAAGAGAAACGCUCAGCGAUCCCGUUUUCUUUGCAAACCUGAACCCUUCAAUCCCUCAUGCAAUGACCUGUCCUCAUAAGCCGUUUUUGCCAUUCAGCUGAGGAAAGUCAUUUCACACUUGAGUGUAUCUUUACUUAUCCGUCCCCUGAGCGCUGAAAAGUAGAUUUCAACUUGAGAUCUUCCCGCGAUGACUUCCAGCUUCAUGUUCUUAAUACUCUGCUAACGACUGACUAAUGAAUAAACAAGUCUCUCUGCGACACAGGCUUCUGUUG